AUCAACUUUCGAUGGUAGGAUAGAGGCCUACCAUGGUGGUAACGGGUAACGGGGUGUUAGGGCACGACACCGGAGAGGGGGCCUGAGAAACGGCUACCACAUCCAAGGAUGGCAGCAGGCGCGCAAAUUACCCAAUCCCGACACGGGGAGGUAGUGACAAUAAAUAACAAUACGGGGUUCUUUCGGAUCUCGUAAUUGGAAUGAGUACAAUUUAAAUCUCUUAACGAGGAACAAUUGGAGGGCAAGUCUGGUGCCAGCAGCCGCGGUAAUUCCAGCUCCAAUAGCGUAUAUUAAAGUUGUUGCAGUUAAAAAGCUCGUAGUUGAAUUUCGGGAUCAAUAUGUUGGUCGUGCCUUGGUACGUACUGGCAUUAUCGAUUCCUACCUUCUGAAGAACCUCGAUGUCAUUAAUUUGGUGUCUUGGGGAAUCAGGACUGUUACUUUGAAAAAAUUAGAGUGUUUAAAGCAGGCUCGCGCUUGAAUACAUUAGCAUGGAAUAAUGAAAUAGGACGUUUGAUUCUAUUUUGUUGGUUUCUAGGAUCGACGUAAUGAUUAAUAGGGAUAGUUGGGGGGCAUUAGUAUUCAAUUGUCAGAGGUGAAAUUCUUGGAUUUAUUGAAGACUAACUACUGCGAAAGCAUUUGCCAAGGAUGUUUUCAUUAAUCAAGAACGAAAGUUAGGGGAUCGAAGACGAUCAGAUACCGUCGUAGUCUUAACCAUAAACUAUGCCGACUAGGGAUCGGAUGAUGUUAAUUUUUAAUGACUCAUCGGCGCCUUACGGGAACCAAAGUGUUUGGGUUC
rnacentral:rRNA from 1 species